AAAAAUCAUUUUUUUUUUAUUUGUUAAAUCGAAUGUACAACUAUUGAAGAAUGUUGUCUCAAAAUUUCAGCUCAUUCGGAGAAAGAUGAAAGUCACCACCGGCCCAAGUGCUCACGAAUAUGUGAAAAGAUUUGACGAAUCCCAAAACUUUGAACGCGUUUUUCUCGAAACGCCUUUUCUGAAGUCGGUGUCCACGAUAACUCAAAAAAUGAUUCUACGAUCUUAUAUCCGGGACACCGCAAUGUGCGGAAUUCCGUUGAGUGCCUACUUCAAGUGGCUGCAACUUCGUUGAUUUUCGACAUUUUGUAAAACUGAUUUUUUGUAAAACAUAUUUGAAAUGUCACUGAAUAAUAUGAUAAUAAAACUAUUCAAAAAUA